GCCAUAACGACAGAAUAUGUGUGUGUGUUUAGUAGAAAGACAAUCCUUUUUUUUCCAGUCAAUUUUUUCUUUGAUCUAUAGAACUUGCUUCUUUUCUCUGAAGUUUUCACAAUACAGCAUGAAGGAGCACAGAGUGCCAGAGGCAGGGAAUUCCUAUGCUUCACUAGUGACUCAUAAGAAAACUUAAUAGAAGGUCUCUACUGCCUGCUGGCCCUGCAGUACCUGAUUGAUGUGGUCCCAAACUAAAGUAGGCUAACCUUCAUUGAACCAAGCACUUCAGAGCCAUGGGAAGAAGUAUGGGGGAAGGAGUCCUUGUACUCUGGCAAUGAGGAAAACAAACAUUAACAGUGCAAGACACAGUGAGAGUCACAGAUCCAUGGAUGGACGAUCCUUUUGAGGACAAUAGAGGGGGAAUUUGGAUAAGUUUCCUGAGUGAGAAACCUUCCAGAUGGCAAUCUGCAAGUUAGUUGUUCCUUCUCAAAACACAGAGCUUUCUCAAGAGAAAGAUAACACCCUCUUUCAUCAGAGCGAGUGAGCUUUCUUCAUGGUGGCAAUUUCCAGUCUCCAGUGCAAGGAGGGGAAACUGAAGGAGAAUAAGGCGGUUACAUUCAGUUAGAGCCUGAGAGCAGAAUUUGGUUAGGCUGAAGCAGCUGUAAACUGUGGAAUGUAAUACCAGAGAGGAGACUGCCACACAAAGAACUCUAAAAAUUUUGAUUUUCAGCAAACCUUCAGAAGGCAAAAGGGAAAGUUUUCCCAUGGGCCAACGUGGAUAUGUUUCUGUAAUAGUCUGCUCAGCCUUCUACAACAAGAUGUCACAGACUGGGUGACUUAAACCAGGGAUCCUCAAACCCUGGCAAUGGAUCGGUACGGGUCAGUGGCCUGUUAGGAAUCAGGCCACGUAGCAGGAGUCCAUAUUUGGAAUAACAACAAUAUAACACUCCUUUGGUAGUUAUAUUUUCUCACCUUCUUUACAGAAGAAGAAUUCCUUACUUAGAAAGGGUAAGUAACUUGACCCUAAUGACCUAGCUGGAAGUGACAGGUCUCUGUGAGAUUCAAGAGUCUAUUUUCCUAACCAUUGUGUUACAGAGAUGAAGUAGACCUAAUUGUGAUAUCCUUUUCCUCUUUUAUGCCCUUUUUAUUUAUCCUUAUGUUGCAUUUAUCCAAAUUAAUUCAAUGGGGCAGUCUAACAAAUCUAGUUUACAUUUCAUUAAUUAUGGGCAUGUUAAUAACAACUCUUAACCCCAAACAUUACCACAGUUCAGGGACAAAGGUUAUUAAGGAGGAUAUAAAUUCUCUAUAUGUACUGGAUGGCUCCCAAGGAAACAGGAUUGGCAUGUUUUACUAUCAGUGUUAUCAGAGUCAUGUUGUAGGCAGCUCCCUUCUAUCAAGUCAACAAAUAAAAUAAUGGUAACUACCUUUUUUGAUGGAUAACAUGUUAGCCUCUGUGCUAAGAGAUUUGCAUAACUUUUUUCAUUUAGCUGACCUAGGAUCUAAAGAGAUAGCAAUGUUCUCCAUUUUAAAAGUGAGAAACCUGAGUUUUAGAGAAGCUAAGUAACUUGCACAAGGAGAAGUCACUUUAGCAAUAUUCAUAGUUAUUACAGUUUGAAUCUGGAAUUGAAUUUGCAUUAGCUCAUUCCCGUGGCUGUGCUCAAGGGCUACCCUCUACUGCUCUGGUUCUGGGCAGUAUGUCAGCUUCUUCCCUCUUUUCUUUCUGAAGGAGACCGCAGAAUGUCAUCCCAAAAUAUGGCACCCUAGUAUGCUUAAGUAUUUUGAAAUGAAGGCCCUUGGAAAUCAGCAGGUGCUAGGAGAGGCUUUUCCCCUAUCUGCAGAGGGACUGGGCACACCCAAAAAGAAAACAAUUACCUUCUGUCCCUUCCCUGAGUUUUCAUUAAGUAAACUCAUAUUGUAGGGAGUGGGGAAUGUAACUACACAUGGACAAAUUUAUUUCAUCAGGAGCCACUGUCUAUUCCCCUAGACCCAUUCAGUUUCCAAAGAAACUAACCAUUGGUUAGGAACCAUUGUCUGAGCAUUGGGCCUGUUCAUUUCCCCUAACAUUGUUUACUCUAGAUUUCCUAAUCUCCCUUCCCUUGUGAAGAAGGUUUUAAAAGUAUAUGUACUUCAUUUGGUUUUGGAUAAUCAUUCUACGGUGAUUUUUUUUUUUACCCAUGCAUAAUAAAAUAAAUUUGUAUGCCUUUUUCUCCUAUUAAUGUGACUUUUGUCAGUUUAUUUUCAGCAAAUCUUGACUGCAAAGGGGAAGUCUUCCCUCUUCACUCCUAUGCUUCCUUCUUUUCUUCAUUUUUUUUUCUGCCUUCCAAUUUACCUUGACUACCUUUUUUUCAAUUAUCUCACAAUCUUGAAUAAAUCAACAUUUAGUAGUUAUGUAGUUAAGCACUUUUACAUUUGAGCAACGUGAAUAAUGUAAUAUAGUUGACUUCUUAAAUGGAAGCCCUUCCCUUGGGCUUUUACAGUAAUUUUAAAAAGAGAAAAAAAUAAAUUUUUAUAAGUGGAAACAAAUUAAAAAUUUUUCUGUCACAGGUGUAAAUUUAUACUAAAUUUCAAUUAAAAUACAACUACUUAUAUAUUUCAUAAAUUUGUGGUAGAGGGCAUUGAUAAUCAAAUAUAUUGAUGUUCAGAAAAGAAUACCUCCAAAUUUGUCACUUUGGACUUCAAACAGAGCAGCUGAAGAGCAGCAAAGGCAGGGAAAGGGCUUUCUCUGAUCUACCCUUAACCGACUAAGGUAAGUUCCUCCAGAAGACAUACAAUUGUCAAUCAGGGAAGAUUAAAUCAGGAAAAGAGACUACAAGUCUGACACCUCCAUUGAGAGACUUUAACCACAGCUACCAUCAAUUCCUCUGAGGGUUGCUUCUGAGAAACUUUAUCUGCAUAGUAAGACAGCCUUUGUUCCCAGUGCAGUUUCUCCCCUGACCCUCCCAUGGCUUGUCACCAUCUCCCCCUGAAAAGCCCCCAGACCCUAUUCUUUCUCUAGGAUAUAAAACUUCAGUCAUUUGAGGGCAUAAAGGUAUAAAAUCUUUAAUCAUCGAGUCUUUCUUUGAGUCUCACAUUUUAUGGGAUGCCCAUGCAUGUUGACAUAAAGAAUUUGUUUGCCUUUUUACCUCUUAAUCUGUCUACUGUCAAGUUUAUUCCAGAAAUCUAACUUUCAGGGGGUAGAAGAGAAUUUUCUUUCACUCCUACAAGCGCAUUCUUUAAAUUGUACUUUUACACCUUCAAUAAAAUGCUUAGGAAUUCCUAGGUCAGUGCUUUUUAAAUCCCGGCUAAAGAAUUGCCUAAGUAGU